CCCUCUACACACCCGUCACCCAUGUACACUCCUCUACACACCUGUCACCCAUGUAAACCUCUCUACACCCCUCUGUCACCCAUGUACACUCCUCUAAACACCCGUCACCCAUGUACACCUUUCUACACCCCUCUAUCACCCAUGUACACUCCUCUACACACCUAUCACCCAUGUACAAUCCUCUACACCCCUCUGUCACCCAUGCACACUCCUCUACACACCUGUCACCCAUGUACACCUUUCUACACCCCUCUGUUACCCAUGUGCACUCCUCUACACACCUGUCACCCAUGUACACCUUUCUACACCCCUAUGUUACCACUUUAUACCUAUACACCCCUGUAUUCCUCUUCACUUGUAAAAAAAAAAUGUGGAGCCUAAUAGGUUUGUUUUGCAGGUUUAACUGUGAAGAAUUGUGGCUGGAAGAAAUCGUCAUGAUGGCGCGGACCAGAUGAAGAAGCGAAGGGAAUGACGCUGAUUGUAGAAGAUGUAAUUUCAUACAAAAUGAGUGUCCUCUCAGGUUUUCCCAGGUUGCAGUGUGACCCGAGACAAUACAUCACUAGUCAGGUGUUCAAGCUUCCCUCCUCUUUUCAGGGAAACAAUCUGCAACUUCCUAACUGAAAAUCCCGGUCACAAAAGGCCUUGUGAAGUCAGGAUGCCUCAGUCACAUUAAAAUCAAAGCAUGAGACUGCAGCCGACCUUCAACUUACACGUUCUUAGGAAUUUCAUCCCUUAAGAUUUGUAUGGUGACUAUGAAGAAUGAGUUUAUUUAUUAUUUAAUCAAUCAUUGACCUAUUCUCUAUUCCUCAUGUUUCUGAUGUCAAUAGGACAGUUAUGAUACCUUCAUGAUGUGUCUGUUGUGAUAUCACUAAAUCUCUUCAUUCUGUCCCCCUUUUUUAAAUAGUAUAUUAAACAUUUCCCUAUUUUAUGCUUUAAACGCUUCACUUUAUAUAACUAAAUAAUUUUUCCACUUCAUUCAGGAGACUUACCAGUUCUUGUAAAAACCACCGAAAUAUCUUCUGUGCUGAGAUAUGAUCACUAAGAUAUAGAUCAAAGGCUCCACUACAUGUCCGAUGCAGUGAUGGAAAGCUUAUGUGGUUUUGAAAGCACAAAAUACUUUAAACGGAGAGGAAGCAGAUGUUGUGUUAUUUGGUUAUUUGAGCGGCACCAGAUCUUACAUAAGUCCCACUCCAGUACAAAGCAUUUCUAAUUAAAAUGCUUAAAAUGUAUCACAUUUCAAUGUUAUUUUAAAAUAGUGCCCCUACUGUUAAAUGAAGAUAAAUAUGGAGACAGGGCUCUGCAGUGUGGUGUCCCGGUACAAGACUUGGUCCUGUCCCUGUCUUAAGUCCCCUCAGCCAGAGUCCCUUCAUUCCCAUAGGGCUCUCCUGCAGGGCUUACCCCUGGUUGCCUCAUAUAGAUUGUGUAGUCUUUAAUGUAUAUACAUAGGAAAUAUAUAUGUAUAGGACCUUUCCCGGGUCAUGUGAUGUACAGUUGUAAUGUAUAAUUGUUCAAGGACCUUCCAGGGUCAUGUGAUGUACCCAGAGUUCACUGGGUUCAGGACUUACAGGUUUGCUGACCAAUGAGCUUAGUCCAGCCCCUUAUUAUAUGAAGGGCUGUAGCCACUAAUUUCUCUCUCUUAGUUUCGGAUUAUCAAGCAAGCACACACAUCUCAACAGAAAUCUCAAUUCAGCUAGGCCAAAGCCUAAGAACCUGCAGCCACUAAAUCGUGAGUUACAAAGCUCAAUCUACCAAAUCCUAUAUGACUACUACCAGGUAAAAGAUUAUAAUUAGUAGCACAGUGGCCUGCAUCAAAGCUCAUUGCUUCAAAGUCCCAGCAAAACCUGUGAGGAACCUGCAUUCCGAUUACCUCU